rnacentral:misc_RNA from 1 species
GAAAUGCGAUAAGUAAUGUGAAUUGCAGAAUUCAGUGAAUCAUCGAAUCUUGAACGCACCUUGCGCUCCUUGGUAUUCCGAGGAGCAUGCCUGUUUGAGUGUCAUGGAAUUCUCAACUCUAUUUGCUUUUGUGAAUAGAGCUUGGAUUUGGAGGUUUAUUGCUGGUACUUGUGAUCGGCUCCUCUUGAAUGCAUUAGCUCGAACCUUUGCGGAUCAGCUAUCGGUGUGAUAAUUGUCUACGCCGUUGCAGUGAAGCAUAUCAAUGGGCUCGGCUUCCAAUCGUCCUUUACUGGACAAUGACUUUGACCUUUGACCUCAAAUCAGGUAGGAUUACCCGCUGAACUUAAGC